ACACAUGCAAGUCGAACGGUGAAGCCCAGCUUGCUGGGUGGAUCAGUGGCGAACGGGUGAGUAACACGUGAGCAAUCUGCCCCUGACUCUGGGAUAAGCGCUGGAAACGGCGUCUAAUACUGGAUAUGAGCUGCGAUCGCAUGGUCAGUAGCUGGAAAGAUUUUUUGGUCAGGGAUGAGCUCGCGGCCUAUCAGCUUGUUGGUGAGGUAAUGGCUCACCAAGGCGUCGACGGGUAGCCGGCCUGAGAGGGUGACCGGCCACACUGGGACUGAGACACGGCCCAGACUCCUACGGGAGGCAGCAGUGGGGAAUAUUGCACAAUGGGCGCAAGCCUGAUGCAGCAACGCCGCGUGAGGGAUGACGGCCUUCGGGUUGUAAACCUCUUUUAGCAGGGAAGAAGCGAAAGUGACGGUACCUGCAGAAAAAGCGCCGGCUAACUACGUGCCAGCAGCCGCGGUAAUACGUAGGGCGCAAGCGUUAUCCGGAAUUAUUGGGCGUAAAGAGCUCGUAGGCGGUUUGUCGCGUCUGCUGUGAAAUCCCGAGGCUCAACCUCGGGUCUGCAGUGGGUACGGGCAGACUAGAGUGCGGUAGGGGAGAUUGGAAUUCCUGGUGUAGCGGUGGAAUGCGCAGAUAUCAGGAGGAACACCGAUGGCGAAGGCAGAUCUCUGGGCCGUAACUGACGCUGAGGAGCGAAAGGGUGGGGAGCAAACAGGCUUAGAUACCCUGGUAGUCCACCCCGUAAACGU
rnacentral:rRNA from 1 species